UUUUGGACAAUGGGGGCAACCCUGAUCCAGCAAUGCCGCGUGCAGGAAGAAGGCCUUCGGGUUGUAAACUGCUUUUGUCAGGGAAGAAAUCCUGUGGGUUAAUACCUCGUGGGGAUGACGGUACCUGAAGAAUAAGCACCGGCUAACUACGUGCCAGCAGCCGCGGUAAUACGUAGGGUGCGAGCGUUAAUCGGAAUUACUGGGCGUAAAGCGUGCGCAGGCGGUUCGAAAGAGAGGUGUAAAUCCCAGGGCUUAACCUUGAACUGCACUUUAACUCCCAGCUAGAGAUGUCAAGGGGGGUGAAUUCCGCGUGAGCAGUAAAUGCGAGUUGCGAGAACACCAUGGCAAGGAGCCCCCUGGGUGUCUGCGUAUGCAA
rnacentral:rRNA from 1 species